GACGAACGCUGGCGGCGUGCUUAACACAUGCAAGUCGAACGGAAAGGCCCUGCUUUUGUGGGGUGCUCGAGUGGCGAACGGGUGAGUAACACGUGAGUAACCUGCCCUUGACUUUGGGAUAACUUCAGGAAACUGGGGCUAAUACCGGAUAGGAGCUCCUGCUGCAUGGUGGGGGUUGGAAAGUUUCGGCGGUUGGGGAUGGACUCGCGGCUUAUCAGCUUGUUGGUGGGGUAGUGGCUUACCAAGGCUUUGACGGGUAGCCGGCCUGGGAGGGUGACCGGCCACAUUGGGACUGAGAUACGGCCCAGACUCCUACAGGAGGCAACGGUGGGGAGUAUUGCACAAUGGGAGGGAGCCUGAUGCAGCAACGCCGCGUGCGGGAUGACGGCCUUCGGGUUGUAAACCGCUUUCGCCUGAGACGAAGCGUGACUGACGGUACUGGGUGAAGAAGCACCGGCUAACUACGUG
rnacentral:rRNA from 1 species